rnacentral:lncRNA from 1 species
GGACUUCUCACAAGUGUAACGUUGUACGUUAUAUUUUGAAUAUUUAAAAAUACUAGACUUGCUAUAUCUCGGCCGCGCGCCGCGAGCCGUGAGCCGUUGACGGGUGACGGAAACCGGUUCGGCGAACUAUCCCUCCUAUGAGGCGACGCGAGCAGAGCCGGCGGUCAAUCGCGAGACGGUCACUAGCACGACGCCGCGAGCCGAUACAGUCUACUACUACUACUGGUCUAUGUACAUUUUUAACUCGCGAUUUUAUUGCAAAUAAUUUAACCGUUAAUAAACUAUUGUGCUUUUAAAAUAACUUUUAAAGUCAGUGUAUACCCCAGAUCGGGGUUCAAGUACCUGACUACCUCCAGUGCACCUACCGUAGUGCACCUACCCUAAGUGCAUCUACCUACGUGCCUGUGUCUACCUACGUACCUGUGUCUACCUACGUGCCUGUGUCUACCUACGUGCCUGUGCCUACCUACGUGCCGCGCCUAUCUACGUGUCCUGCAUCUACCUGCGCGUCCGGCAUCUACUAGCGCGCUGCACACCUACCCCGCCUGACCGCUGCCGAGCUGCCUGACUAUACAGGGUAGUAGUGUUUCUAUAGCGGGCUGGAACUUAACGCGUGCUCGAUUAUUCUAAACCCACUCCCGGCUCUGCCGAUCCUUUUGUAGAAUAUACUUAUAUACUAAUUUUCUAAAUUACUCUUUUUAUUUCCUCACCUAGUAGACUACCUACCACUAAACCCAAAACGUUACAGUGGCGCCCAAUAAUGGUAGAAUAUAUCGAGCCGUGUUUAGUUCUUGUUUGCUAAGCAUUUUGUAGUUGUCCUGGUGUUGGUUGUCUGUCAGUUGUGUUGAAUUUAAUCACAGCCUACCAAAUGUGAAUCUACCCACAUCUUUUUAAUAAUUAUUUUUUUUCUAAUAUUUAAAUUCAACCGUCCAUUUUUUUUUACUUGACCUACCGUCAAUAUUUUUCUACCCCCCAAAUUUUAUAUUUUCUUACAUUUACCUUCAAAAUUAACAUACCUUAAAUAUAUUUUCACAUAUGGUUAGACUGACCACAAACGUGCUGAUUUUGCAUCUGAAUUGUUUUGUCUUUAUUAUUUUUGUUUUUAUUUUGCAACACACUCCUAACUGUGGUUUUAAUUUUCAAUUAUGUCGUACACUAUUAAAUUCUUAUCGCUUCAAAAAGCUGAACUAGACUAUGAAGUUACUGUUCGUGAUGGUACUGGGGGAGAUGGGGUUAGCAAACUCCGGAAACAGAUAGUUAAAUUACCUCCUAUAGUACAAAAAACAAAGUUAUAAUUUUAAUCGUAUCUAUUCUAAACACUAUAAUCACUACACUAAACCUAAAUUUACUUCUAAUAGAACCCCACAAGACAGUCACAAUUUAUACGUUAAUAAAAUGGUACAUAAAGUAUUUUAAACUAUUAAAUUAAUUAACUAUAAAGUAUAACUUAGACUAAUUUUAUAAGAAUGUUACUACGACUAGGUAAAGUAAAUCAAAUUGUUAAUAAUUAAACUUCGUUGAUUAUAGCUAAAUAUAUUUUAUUUUAAACAAGUUUAAAAAAAAAAUCACCUAAAACUAAAUGCUCUAAUACAUAAUAUAAACUAAACUAAAUAAUAAAAACUAAACUUAAUAAUAUAAACUAAUAAAGUACAAAGAAUAAAUUAUUAGUUCAACUUAAAUUCUAUAACUGUAAUUAAAAUUAUAUAACAAAUUUUAAAAAAUCAACUAAAACUAAAUGCACUAAAUAUAACUAAAACAUAUACAUAAUAUAAACUAAACUAAAUAAUAAAAACUAAAAAACUAAAUUAAAUAGUAUAAACUAAAAAACUAAACUAAACAACGUAAACUACACCCACUUACUACUACUACCCAUAACUAUUGCUUUUCUAUUUUUCACCUAUUGGUCUACCCCAAUAGAUUAUAUGAUGAUGGUCUACCCCAUACAUCGUAUUACUACCAUAUUAAAUAUAUUAUGACUAUCGGCCCUACACCGAUGGUUAUAAACGAAACUUUUGAUCGUGGUUCUACCCCAUAGAUCCCUUCUGUAUGCUAAAGGCCCUACACCUUUGGUAUUCUACGGAGCGGUGCAACUCCUUAAAUAAGCCUUUGCAAGAGCGGUUGAUUACUCUAUAAGUAAGCCUUAAAAUCAAAAAUAUAACUUAUCUAUUUAUCCUUUCUAAUAUUCAAUCUAUCAAUUAAUAGUUAUGUGUAGUUAGUAAUCGCUCGGUUUCAGCUUUAUCCUCUACCAGCCAUGACUGAACUGGGUGAGUGUUCUGUGCACUAUAGGCAGAAUACUCAGGUCGAAAGGACGCUGACGCACAGAUGUCUAGUGUGAUGUCGGCUAUUUAAUGUAAGGAAGAAUGAAAGGUGAGGGAUGAUUACAUUAUGAAUGAAGACGAAUGAAAGAGAAACUUAGAUCAGUUGUUAGCAAGAGCGAAAGCAGCGGAUUUUUCCUAGGAAAAAUCCUACGCUAAAAAGGGGGGUACUGUAACGUUGUACGUUAUAUUUUGAAUAUUUAAAAAUACUAGACUUGCUAUAUCUCGGCCGCGCGCCGCGAGCCGUGAGCCGUUGACGGGUGACGGAAACCGGUUCGGCGAACUAUCCCUCCUAUGAGGCGACGCGAGCAGAGCCGGCGGUCAAUCGCGAGACGGUCACUAGCACGACGCCGCGAGCCGAUACAGUCUACUACUACUACUGGUCUAUGUACAUUUUUAACUCGCGAUUUUAUUGCAAAUAAUUUAACCGUUAAUAAACUAUUGUGCUUUUAAAAUAACUUUUAAAGUCAGUGUAUACCCCAGAUCGGGGUUCAAGUACCUGACUACCUCCAGUGCACCUACCGUAGUGCACCUACCCUAAGUGCAUCUACCUACGUGCCUGUGUCUACCUACGUACCUGUGUCUACCUACGUGCCUGUGUCUACCUACGUGCCUGUGC